UUUCUUAAGAUAUAAUUUAAGAUAAAACCUGCUCCAUGUAAAACACAAUAAAUAGCUGCAUAUUACUGUACUAAGGUAGCAUAAUCAUUAGCUUUUUAAUUAAAAGAUAGAAUGAACGGUUAAACGAAACUUUAACUGUUUCUUAAGUUUAAUAUUAAAUUACAAUAUUAGUAAAAACACUACUAAAACUAAGAAAGACGAUAAGACCCUACAAACUACUACAUUUCAGCUGGGGUGGCAAAACAAAAAAACCUUAAAUUAUUAAUGAAUACUAAACAAAUAAAAUAUAUAUAGAAAAAGUUACUACAGGGAUAACAGCGCUACUUUUUUCCAAAGAUCUUAUAUAAAAAAUUACUACGACCUCGAUGUUGAAUUAUUUAACCUUUAAUUAAAGCAAAAUUUAUAACAGGUAGUCUGUUCGACUAAUAAUUAUUU
rnacentral:rRNA from 1 species